UAUGUGACGAAUAUGACGGUAGCAUAUGAAUAAGGAUCGGCUAACUCCGUGCCAGCAGCCGCGGUCAUACGGAGGAUCCAAGCGUUAUCCGGAAUUACUGGGCGUAAAGAGUUGCGUAGGUGGCUUGGAAAGCAGACAGUGAAAGCACAUGGCUCAACCAUGUAUACAUUGUCUGAACUCCUAAGCUAGAGGGCGAGAGAGGCAGAUGGAAUUCCUGAUGUAGGGGUAAUAUCCGUAGAUAUUAG
rnacentral:rRNA from 1 species